rnacentral:lncRNA from 1 species
UUCGUCUGUAGCUAGGUUUCUAUCCAAUUGACAGAUUUCCAUGCGAAUAUUUUUUAAAUUAAAGAAAAUACUGCAUUCCCACUUUCCCACCAGUGCUGUUUCCACCGAACAGACCUGUCGCGGAUAAAAAUCAUUGCGUGAUGACGUAGAGCACAAAACAUUCUAUUCUUCGCUGAAGUUUGACCGAAUUUUUUAUUUUUUUAAAUCUAAAGUUCAAUAUGUUUCCAUCGCAAUUUUCAACUCUACUGAUUAGUUUUGUCACAAACUGUUGCGUUAAUUAGAAAAUGUGCCGGCUCUGGUCUUGGCACUUGCGCUAUAGCCAACAGCUCACAGAUCAAGUGCGGGUAGCCUAGUCUACAUGACGAUAUUAUGCAUGAAAUGUUUUAUUUGUCAAGCAUCGAUUAUCAUGUUACCAGACUAUGACCAUCGACAUUUUAAUGGAAAGGAGCAUCAAGAUCACCGUGCACUUUCACCACGCUGUGAUGUUCAUCACCAUUUAUUUAAUCUGUAAUUGAAUAAACGGGAUGGUUUUCCAAGUCGUAGUGGGAGGACCACACACUAUCAUCGCGUGACUCCAAGUUACUUCGAUGUGAUGGUUAUUAUAUUUCUACUUGGCGCAUAAAGGCGUUUCCACCGCCGUUUCUCUCGUCAUACAUUUUACAGACACAAAAAUAUCACAACAUGCCGAACGAACAAAUGAUCUGUCGUAUUUAUAAAAUUGUACCGAAACUUAGUUUUUUUAUACUUUUACUUUACUCACAAAACUGGGGAUAGAAACGUGGUUUGUGUCGUUGGUUUUACCUUCUGGAGUCAUAAGAAGGGAAAUAAUCUGAUAUCAGUGUUAUGAUGAUGCGAUGGCUUUUAAAUCAUACCAUUGCCUUUUAGCCCAGUCCUGUUGUAUAAUUCUUAAGCAUUGUCUGUGCGACCACUGUGUUUUAUUCUUAUUAAUCACUGUGAUUUAUCUACAACGAUUGUGGUUUUGGGUAAAUACUAAUUUGUGGGUCAAUCAUGGUCCUCGAAGGCUGCGGUGUCUAGUUUGUUCUUUGAUUGGUUUUCUAGCUCAAAAUCAAUGCUUGAUUUAUAUAGCAACUAUGAAAACCAAUAGACGGGGUGGCCCUCAGACGAGUUGAGAACAAAGGCUGGAUUACCUGAAAAUAUACAGUACCACUGAACAAAAUUGUCAAAGAUCUAACCAUGGGUAGUUUCUAUUUUUUAGGUGGAGCAAUCAAUGUGGAAAUAACCACUAAUAUGUUGACAUUUUAAUAGCCAGGAUGAUAUUCAAUUGCAAUAGAAACAUAAAGGUAAUUUAAUGUACAUUGUGUUAGUACCUGAGAAAUUGCUGCUUACCUCACCAUAGUCUAAAUUGUACAGUAAGAAUCUGUAAAAUGUACAAACGUACAGUGUAAAUCUUAACGAAGCGCCUUGCCCUCAAGGAGGUAGGGUAAAGCUCAUGCCUUCUGUUGUCUAAGGGCAUAAUCUUCACAGCAAUAAAUCACAUUCACCUGUAUGCCUUCAGAAGCCAGAUUAAUGAGGGCUGUUGGGUAAUGCCAAUGUACAGAAUCUCAAUGUAGAUUGUAUUUAUGUAUCGAUCAGCCUUAGGGAUUUGGCUUUGCAACAUCAAGUUCAGUGAGGUCCAGUUAAUUUAUACUGUACAUGUACAUUUUAAUAUCAUUAAAUGUUUUUGAAAAUCCAAAAAUAGUGGCAUGAAUUUGUAGCUAUUUGUACUAUUGUGUAGUUUCUUGCUACCCUUCAUUAUUCCAGAGAAAAACCCUUUGUAAAGAAUUUGUUGGCCAUGGUUACACUCCUUUCAGCGCAACAAUUGAUUCCAAAAUACUUUCAGCACACAGGAAGCUGAGCACCAUAACAUUUUCAAUAAACCUACAACAGCUGUUCCAUUUGUUGUUUUUAGAGAAAUUCAUUCAAUGUGAUAACCUUGUUUAUAAUAUGAUUUCUAGGAGGGGUGAAAUAUUGAGGCUGACCCCCAU